rnacentral:rRNA from 1 species
UGAACCUUAUCGGUUUAUAGGAAGGAGAAGUCGUAACAAGGUUUCCGUAGGUGAACCUGCGGAAGGAUCAUUG